GUCCUGCCCGCCCCGCAGCCCCGCCUCUGGGACACCGGCGUGGAGCGCCCGCCCUCGCGGCAUCCCCGUCCCCGGGGUCCCGGCGUAGCCGUCGCGCCGUCUCCUCGGUGCUGCCGCGGCGCUCGGCAGAUCCGGGAGCGCGCUCCCGUACCUGAGCCCGGUAGCGAGGGAGGGCCGGAGGCGCGUGGCCAUGGCAGCCUCUUCGCGGUCCGGAGGAGUGCCGUCAGCGGAGCGCGGUGCUCCCGAGCGGAGCUGCCCGGAGCUGCCAUCUGCCGCGCCGCGCGCGGAGCGCUCCGGAGGACGCGGAGCUCCCCAGGGGGUACCGGGAUGUGGUAGCGCGGCGCUGACCAAGGAACGAGCGGGAGCACGGGACUGCCUGUGGCAGAGGAGGUGGAUGUUCCCGUUAUUUCCCUUUAGGGUUUGCACUGGGAGCUGUAGAAGAGCCAUGCGAGCCUGACCAUGACAAGGUGUCACCAGGACUAUGCUUGCGUCUGUGUUCAAUGUCUGGAUCUUGGACCAAAGGAUCAUGGGGAAUUACCUACACACUGAUGUUUAUAGAAUGAAAACAGCAUGUUUUGUGAAAUUGUUGGACACUUAAUGCAGUAUCAGCCUGAGGCAAAAUGGUGGAAGGGUUGUUGUUGCAUAGAGUGAGAGGAAGUGAUGAUUGUUAUUAACUAUACAAGCACUGUACAUUUCUGAGCAAGAUAAUAAUAAGUCUAUUUAUAAUACCAGUGGAGAUACGAUGUUAUGUUAUGAGGUUUGCUUUCCUGUUUUAUUCCUUGCAGUACUCUGGUCUUUUAAACUCUCCUUGCUAAUAGAUUACAACUUCAUGAAGUUAUAUUGUUAAUUCUGGGUUGAAGGACAAAAGCUUGAUCUUAGGCAGAGCUAUGGUCAUGUCUUCCUUUAAAAAUACCUAAGCUGUCUGAAAAAUGCCUUUAAUGAAGUCUUCUCCUUGCAGGAAGAUGCUUUUCUACUUCCAGUCAAGUGAUACUGACCCCCACUCCGGCUUUCAUCUUCUUGGUGGGAAGCAAUCCUCAUCUCCUUACCCACCAUUAGAGUUCCUGUUCUAGCUGGUGCUUUCCUCAUUUUAAGUAAUACCUUACCAAACAUUUACAUUCAGUGGUUCACUUGACAUUUUAUGAAUAAUCAUGGAUUGUGGCAAAGCACCCAUGAUACUCUGAUACACUAAUUAUGUCAUUUUGUGCUGCAUUCCACUUAUGUUGGUGUUAUUCAAAGACCUCAUCACACCUUCUCAGUUUGCUGUCUCUCUCUAAGCAACUCAAACUCAUUUAUUGUUAUGUUGGGUUUUUUUUUCAAAGACAAAUGAGCAAUAUUGCAUUCUGUAACUUACAAUUAGGGAAGUUUCAAAAGUAGCCUUUUCUGUCUCUCUUUAAGGUCCUGGUGUAAGAUGUAUGUGGAUACUGUUCCUCUAGCCACUUUAAUCAACAGACUUAAGCAUCUCCAAGCUCCCCCCGUACUCUAGAUAGAAGGACUGCCCUGUGCUUCUCUCCAAAUGCGAAAAUUAAGCGUGAUCUGAUUCAUAGUUUCUUCAGUGACUUGAAGACCUUCAAAAAUCUGACUGUGACAUUGUUUCCCCCUCAAAUGUAGCUGAUACUUCCUUGUGGAUUAUUAGUCAAGAUACUGAAGAGCAUUGGACUACAGGGAGAUCUGUGCAAGACCUCAUUAGAAAAACUGCUGGAGGAGGAUUUCUCAUCUGCAGUUAAUCAUUUGAUGUAAUAUGGAACAUGAGUAUAGUGUUUAAUCCUGCUUUUAUGUGUGUGUCAUAAAGAUCUAGGUCCAACACCUUGAAGAGAUCUGUUAUAUCUACAUACACAUUUAUCAAAUAAAUUGAACAGUCACUGGAAAUAUUAA